AGGCAGCAGUGGGGAAUAUUGCGCAAUGGGCGAAAGCCUGACGCAGCGACGCCGCGUGAGGGAUGAAGGUCUUCGGAUCGUAAACCUCUGUCAGCAGGGAGAACGGUCACUGUGCUAAUCAGCAGUGAAUUGACGGUACCUGCAAAGGAAGCACCGGCUAACUCCGUGCC
rnacentral:rRNA from 1 species